UACGUAGGGGGCAAGCGUUGUCCGGAAUCAUUGGGCGUAAAGCGCGUGUAGGCGGUUCGAUAAGUCUGCUGUGAAAGUCCAAGGCUCAACCUUGGGAUGCCGGUGGAUACUGUCGGGCUAGAGUGCGGAAGAGGCGAGUGGAAUUCCCGGUGUAGCGGUGAAAUGCGCAGAUAUCGGGAGGAACACCAAUUGCGAAGGCAGCUCGCUGGGACGUGACUGACGCUGAGACGCGAAAGCGUGGGGAGCAAACAGG
rnacentral:rRNA from 1 species